rnacentral:rRNA from 1 species
UACGUAGGGUGCGAGCGUUAAUCGGAAUUACUGGGCGUAAAGCGUGCGCAGGCGGUUCGUGAUGUCUGAUGUGAAAGCCCCGGGCUCAACCUGGGAAUUGCAUUGGAAACUAGCGGGCUGGAGUGCGGCAGAGGGAGGUGGAAUUCCACGUGUAGCAGUGAAAUGCGUAGAGAUGUGGAGGAACACCGAUGGCGAAGGCAGCCUCCUGGGCCAGCACUGACGCUCAUGCACGAAAGCGUGGGGAGCAAACAGG